UUUUUUUAUAUUUUUUUUUAAAUUUUAGGUUUGUUAGUAAUUGCUUUUUUUUCCCCAAACAUAAUGAACCACUUGUUCUUUAAAUUCUUUAGUUUGCAAAGUUCUACCAAUAAAUAUUGCCUGAAUUUUUCACAACUUACUUAAUAUCAGUUUGUACUGAUGUUCAAGAAACUCACUGAUAUUUGUUUGAUUAAAAACAGAAAAAAACUAGACUAGAAGAUCUUUGUCUCUAGUUUCUUAGUGUUGUGGUGUUACAGCCUAGGUGCCUGAGCUACAUGUCAACUCUACUUAAAGAUCAUUGCUCUCUAUAUUUACAUUUUUUUGUUUUUUUCAAGUUUGGGUGAUUUUUUUUUCUAAUAAAUAACAAUUCUUCAGCACAAAUUCUUUGCUACUGUGCUGGUAACAAAAGAGUCUCCAAGUUAAGUUACAGAAUAAUUAAUCUCAGCAUUAGCUAACAUAUAACAUAUUUAAUAGGAAGACAUUACAGUUAGAAGCUGCUCUAAGUCAGCCUUGACCUACCCUGUUUGACUUAUACUCAACAUCUUGAGUAUUAACUCACUUUUUCUAUUAGCCAACUAUUUUGGUGCUGAUUCAGAGGACUGCAGAGGAAGCAAGGCAUAUAUUUGUGUGAGCUGGAACAUUCAGUUCCAUUGUGUGUCUUGUAAGACUUUCUCUUGCUCUCAUUGAAUACAAACAUGCAAGCAAUCAAAGACUGACUUUAUUGUACACUAUCAAGAUAUUAGUUUGUUUCAUUUCAUUGCCUCAUCCAUGUACUUCAAACUUGGCAUUCCACACUGUUCCCAACUUCCUCAUUGCCCAUUCUAUAGUGUUGAACAAAAUUUGACUGUUCUGUUAGGCCAACUCUUUCAGGAUUGUCCAUAUUUAGAAUGCAUAUCAUGCAAUCGUUUUUACUAAAGAUUAUCUCCAUCUUGUAUUACAGGUUUGAGUUUUUUAGUAGUGAAAUUUAUCAAGAGCAAUAACCCAUUGACUUUAUCAUUACCAGUUUUUUUUUAGUUCUUUUAUUUAGGGUUGUGAACCCUAAGGCCAUAAGGUGUUGCCUGUUGGCCCAGGUUGUGAAUUUUUAUUUUAACACUUUAGUAGUUGUUUUUUUUUAUUUGAAUAGUCAGUUUUGUUGUGAAGCAAACAUUUUGAGGAAGAAUUGUAAAUUAAUGUCUGACUAUUUCACAACUUUGACAUCUCUACAAAACAUUGAAUGAUUGACUUCAUUGUGUAUGUAUCUACUCACUUGUACAUCUAAGUAUGCAUGCUUCCUCUAGAAGGCUCGCUAGUAUACACUUUACUUGUAUGCCAAGAAACUAAGUCUGUGUAUGUAGCUUAAGUCUGUACCAUUUAUUAUUUGAUUAGCAAUAGAAUGUGGCCUCAAGGUUUUUUCUAUGUCAGCAUAAACACUAACAGAAAUUUGGACAAAUACUUAUGAUAAAUUAUUGCAUUGAAUGCUUGUUGUAGUGAAGAAGGUUGUAGAAGGGAGAUAAAUAUUGAGAUAGAUCUUCACAAUUUUAAAAUGCUUGUCUGCCCUUUGGUAAUUGAAGACCAUUGAUUUGACCCAAGAGCAUUUAAUAAUGGAAACAUACAAAAAGAUGUAUAUUUGUUUAUUUGAUACAUAUGUGAUGAUUCUGAAUGAUCAGUUGCUUGUAGAUAUUCAACUCUAUUUUUGUAUCAACAGUGAAUCAAUGGACAGAUAACUUGAUCAUGUCUUGUGUAUAACAUUACCUUUGUAACUUCCUUAACCUAUAACAUUACAUACAUGAAUAGAAUAUAUUUAUAUCUCUAUAUCUAGAUACAGAACCUUUUUUUUUUCUUCUUCUUCUGUUGACUUUCUUGUUACAGGCUAUGCAACAGUGAGAGCUGUGGCUUAAAUUGUUUGGUCUUAGGGCAGUGGUUCUCAACCUUUUUAGCUCCGCGACCCCCUAAUACAAUUUUUCACUUGACGGUGCCCCACAACCCUAAAUUUCUGUUCAUUUAAUUUCAAGAAGUUUGCAUAGAAACUUAUUUUUAUCAUCGCUAUUAUGUAUAUUUCUCAAGAAAACGCAGUAAUUGUGAACAAUUUACAAGGUCUGUGGAUUCAUCAAUCUGGAUGCUAAAUAUUUGGAAGUGGAUAUCUUUUUCCUGAAUUACCUGAUUGUUAAUAUCAGCAGACAUGUCAAUUGUUUUUUCCUGUGAACUGUUUCAUUAAAUAAUGAAAUAGCACUAAAUUAAGUAAAGAAAUCAGCUCCAAUCAUAACUCGAGCAAUGUUUUUGUCCACUGGCAAUAUUAACUCUUGGAAAUGGUGUGAGUUUUCUUAGCUCUGGCAAUUCUGAGAGCCACCUAAUAAAAAGUUUCAAGGGCUGAUGUUUUAAUUAUGGU